CCCUAGCCCUGAUGGGAACGGCAUCCUUUUUUGUUUUUCUGUGGCCCACGUUGUUUGGAAUGACAAACGUUCUGAAAAACAAAAAAGAUAUAGUGGACAGCAGGAUCAAGC
rnacentral:sRNA from 1 species